rnacentral:rRNA from 1 species
CUCAGAACGAACGCUGGCGGCAUGGAUUAGGCAUGCAAGUUGAACGAACUCCUUCGGGAGUGAGUAGCGGAAGGGUGAGGAACGCGUGAGUAAUCUGCCCCCCAGUUGGGAAUAACAGUUGGAAACGACUGCUAAUACCGAAUGUGGCUUAAGCUUCGCCUGGAGCUUUGGCUAAAGAUUUAUCGCUGGGGGAUGAGCUCGCGUCCCAUUAGGUAGUUGGUGAGGUAACGGCUCACCAAGCCGACGAUGGGUAGCUGGUCUGAGAGGAUGGUCAGCCACACUGGGACUGAGACACUGCCCAGACUCCUACGGGAGGCUGCAGUCGAGAAUCUUGGGCAAUGCGCGAAAGCGUGACCCAGCAAUGCCGCGUGUAUGAUGAAGGCCCUCGGGUCGUAAAGUACUGUCUCCCGUGACGAAAUUUGACGGUAGCGGGGAAGGAAGCCACGGCUAACUACGUGCCAGCCGCCGC